rnacentral:ncRNA from 2 species
AAGCAACAAAUAGCGCCAGAACUCGCAAGCGGGACGGAAAUGUAGUGAGAUUGCUACUACUACGCGGUGAGUUGACGAGGUGAAGGUGUUCGAAACAUUCGGCGGGGACCUUCCGGCAUGAGGAGUGCCGUUAAGUUGGAGAGCAAAAACGCUUGGGCGACUAGGCUGACAAGUAUCCAACAUCCAUUUAU